rnacentral:misc_RNA from 1 species
UCGGCGAAAAUCCUGAAAUCCCUAAUUCGCUCGAAAUCAAAAUCAAUUCAUUUCCAUUACCAAAAAAUAUAAAAAAAAAUCAAUCCAUGAAUCGGCUGCCGAUCAUUGCGAAGGAGGAAUUACCGUCGGAGCUCUCGCCUCCGCGGCCGAUGGAGGGGCUGCACGAGACGGGGCCGCCUCCGUUCCUCACCAAGACGUACGAGAUGGUGGAGGACUCCGGCACUGACGCCGUCGUGUCGUGGAGCGCGGCGGGCAACAGCUUUGUCGUCUGGGAUCCUCAUGAGUUCGCCACCGCCAUGCUCCCUCGGCACUUCAAGCAUCAGAACUUCUCAAGCUUCGUUCGCCAGCUCAAUACUUAUGGCUUUAGAAAGGUGGAUCCAGAUAGGUGGGAAUUUGCCAACGAGGGAUUCCUCAGGGCCCAAAAGCAUCUGCUCAAGACGAUAAAGAGGAGAAAACCAUCCAGUCAUCCUCUUCAACAACAAUCUCUUGGCCAAUGCCUUGAGGUUGGAUGGUACGGAUUGGAUCGAGAAGUGGACAGAUUAAAGAAGGACAAGAACAUCUUAAUGGAAGAGGUUAUGAAACUAAGGCAACAACAUCAGAAUACUCGAACUCAAAUAAAAGCCAUGGA